GAUGGAGAACGCAGCGAAAUGCGAUAAGUAAUGUGAAUUGCAGAAUUCAGUGAAUCAUCGAAUCUUUGAACGCACAUUGCGCCCGCCAGUAUUCUGGCGGGCAUGCCUGUUCGAGCGUCAUUUCAACCAUCAAGCCCUGCUUGCGUUGGGGUCCUGCGGCUGCCCGCAGGCCCUGAAAACCAGUGGCGGGCUCGCUAGUCACACCGAGCGCAGUAAUACAUCUCGCUUUGGGCGUGCGGCGGGUUCUUGCCGUUAAACACCCCCUUUUUACCAAGGUUGACCUCGGAUCAGGUAGGAAUACCCGCUGAACUUAAGCAUAUCAAUAAGCGGAGGA
rnacentral:misc_RNA from 1 species